GUUUGGUCCUAGCCUUACACUCAACUAUUACUUAACUUACACAUGCAAGUAUCCGCACACCCGUGAGAACGCCCUCACCCCUCUAACAGGACGAGGAGCCGGUAUCAGGCACAAUUUCCUUGCCCAUAACACCUAGCUACGCCACACCCCCAAGGGUACUCAGCAGUGAUAGACAUUGUUCAUUAGCGCCAGCUUGAUUCAGUUAAAGUAAUUAGAGCCGGCCAAUUCGGUGCCAGCCGCCGCGGCUACCCCGCUUGGCUCAAGUUGACACUAUCGGCGUUAAGCGUGAUUAAAGAACUCCCCAUACUAGAAUCAAACUCUGACCAAGCCGUGACACGCUUGUCUUCAAGAAGCCCUCGAACGAAAGUUAUUCUAACUAUACUUGAACCCACGACAGUUGGGGCACAAACUGGGAUCAGGUACCCCACUAUGCCCUACCGUAAAACAUUAACUUACAUCAAACAGCCGCCAGGGAAUUACAAGCCCAGCCUUAAAACCCAAAGGACUUGACGGUGUCCCACCCACCUAGAGGAGCCUGUUCUACAAUCGACACCCCCCGAUAUACCUCACCACUUCUAGCCAUUCAGUCUGUAUACCUCCGUCGUAAGCCUACCAUGUGAACGCCACCAGUGGGCUAAGAGACUAACCGUCAACACGUCAGGUCAAGGUGCAGCUCACGAAGCGGAAAGCAAUGGGCUACAAUUUCUAUAUUAGAACACACGAAAAACUGCAUGCAACACAGUUUCGAAGGUGGAUUUAGUAGUAAAAAGAAAAUAGAGAGUUCUUUUUAAUUAGGCGCUGGGACGCGUACACACCGCCCGUCACCCUCUUCAAAUUUUAUCCCGUCUAGAAGAGGCAAGUCGUAACAUGGUAAGCGUACUGGAAAGUGCGCUUGGACUAACAAAAUGUAGCUUAACAUAAAGCAUCCCGCUUACACCGAGAUAGAUGUCCAUAAACAGACCACUUUGAGCCUAAACCCCAGCCCUACAACUACUUCAAAUUUACUUUUACAAAAUAAAACAUUUUACCCAUUAAGUAACGGCGAUUAAAAAAUGAUUAGGAGCCAUAAAAAUAGUACCGCAAGGGAAACAUGAAAUAAAAUGAAAAACCUAAAGCAUAUCACAGCAAAGUUUCAAUCUUGUACCUUUUGCAUCAUGGUCUAGCUAGUUAAACCAAGCGAAACGUACUUAAAGUUUGACCCCCCGAAACUAAGCGAGCUACUCCAAAGCAGCUUCCACAGAGCCAACCCAUCUCUGUAGCAAAAGAGUGGGAAGACUUUAGAGUAGAGGUGACACACCUACCGAGCUUAGAGAUAGCUGGUUAUUCAAGAAAAGGAUUUUAGUCCAUCUUUAAGUUCCAAUGUGACAUUUAACACCAAUAAACUUAAAAGCCAUUCAAAUAAGGUACAGCCUAUUUGAAAAAGGAAACAACCUAUGACACAGGGUAAUGACUUAUCCACGUGACCAAGUCGGCCUAAAAGCAGCCAACUUCCAAAAAGCGUCCAAGCUUCAUCACAAACUAUCGUCAAUCCCACAAUUAACUCAUAACCCGCAACCAAUAUUGAAUGACCCCAUACUCGUAUGGGAAACAUCAUGCUAGAACUAGUAACAAGAAGAAGAACUUCUCCAAAAUGUAAACGUAAGCCAAAAUGAACUAAUCACCGGCAUUUACCGCGUACCCACAGUAUUAACACUGCAAGAAAACUAUACUCCAAUUAACGUUAACCUUACACUAGAACAUUCCUGGAAAGAUUAAAAAAGAGGGAAGGAACUCGGCAAACAUUAGCCCCGCCUGUUUACCAAAAACAUCGCCUCUUGAUAAAAUAUAAGAGGUCAAGCCUGCCCAGUGACUCUAAGUUAAACGGCCGCGGUACCCUAACCGUGCGAAGGUAGCACAAUCACUUGUUCUUUAAAUUAGGACCAGUAUGAACGGCUUCACGAGAGCUAUACUGUCUCCCCCCUUCAAUCAGUGAAACUGAUCUCCUCGUGAAGAAGCGAGGAUAACUAUAUAAGACGAGAAGACCCCAUGGAGCUUUAAACUUGUACCACUGCUCUAAAAUACACCAUAUAACUUAAGCAAGUAUGACUACGAGUCUUUCGGCUGGGGCGACCACGGAGAAAAACUAAACCUCCAUGAUGAAAGGAAUAAUCCUAAUCAAAGAGCUACCGCUCCAAGAAUCAACAAAUUGACACAUUGACCCAAACAUUUUGACCAACGAACCAAGUUACCCUGGGGAUAACAGCGCAAUCCAUUUCAAGAGACCCCAUCGACAAAUGGGCUUACGACCUCGAUGUUGGAUCAGGGUGUCCUAGUGGUGUAGCCGCUACUAAAGGUUCG
rnacentral:ncRNA from 1 species